rnacentral:rRNA from 1 species
GGGGCCCGCACAAGCGGUGGAGCAUGUGGUUAAUUCGACGCAACGCGAAGAACCUUACCAGGGCUUGACAUCCCCUGACCGCGUAUGAAAGUACGUUUUCACCUUCGGGAGACAGGGAGACAGGUGGUGCAUGGUUGUCGUCAGCUCGUGUCGUGAGAUGUUGGGUUAAGUCCCGCAACGAGCGCAACCCCUAUUGUUAGUUGCCAUCAUUCAGUUGGGCACUCUAGCGAGACUGCCGGUAAUAAACCGGAGGAAGGUGGGGAUGACGUCAAAUCAUCAUGCCCCUUAUGACCUGGGCUACACACGUGCUACAAUGGUUGGUACAACGAGUUGCGAGUCGGUGACGGCGAGCUAAUCUCUUAAAGCCAAUCUCAGUUCGGAUUGUAGGCUGCAACUCGCCUACAUGAAGUCGGAAUCGCUAGUAAUCGCGGAUCAGCACGCCGCGGUGAAUACGUUCCCGGGCCUU